GACGUAGGGGGCCAGCGUUGUUCGGAAUUACUGGGUGUAAAGGGUUCGUAGGCGGUGCGGCAAGUUGGGAGUGAAAUCUCUGGGCUUAACCCAGAGGCUGCUUCCAAAACUGCUGUGCUUGAGUGUGGGAGAGGCGCGUGGAAUUGCAGGUGUAGCGGUGAAAUGCGUAGAUAUCUGCAGGAACACCCGUGGCGAAGGCGGCAUCCUGGACCAACACUGACGCUGAGGAGCGAAAGCCAGGGGAGCAAACGGG
rnacentral:rRNA from 1 species